AGUGAACGCUGGCGGUAGGCCUAACACAUGCAAGUCGAACGGCAGCACAGUAAGAGCUUGCUCUUACGGGUGGCGAGUGGCGGACGGGUGAGGAAUACAUCGGAAUCUACUUUUUCGUGGGGGAUAACGUAGGGAAACUUACGCUAAUACCGCAUACGACCUACGGGUGAAAGCAGGGGAUCUUCGGACCUUGCGCGAUUGAAUGAGCCGAUGUCGGAUUAGCUAGUUGGCGGGGUAAAGGCCCACCAAGGAGAUGGUCCGUAGCUGGUCUGAGAGGAUGAUCAGCCACACUGGAACGGAGAAACGGUCCAGACUCCUACGGGAGGCAGCAGUGGGGAAUAUUGGACAAUGGGCGCAAGCCUGAUCCAGCCAUACCGCGUGGGUGAAGAAGGCCUUCGGGUUGUAAAGCCCUUUUGUUGGGAAAGAAAAGCAGCAGGUUAAUACCCCGCUGUUCUGACGGUACCCAAAGAAUAAGCACCGGCUAACUUCGUG
rnacentral:rRNA from 1 species